AAUUGAAGAGUUUGAUCAUGGCUCAGAUUGAACGCUGGCGGUAGGCUUAACACAUGCAAGUCGAGCGGAAACGAAGAAUAGCUUGCUAUUCUGGCGUCGAGCGGCGGACGGGUGAGUAAUGCUUGGGAAUCUGCCUAGUCGAGGGGGACAACAGUUGGAAACGACUGCUAAUACCGCAUACGACCUACGGGUGAAAGGGGGCCUCUUCUUGAAAGCUCUCGCGACUAGAUGAGCCCAAGUGGGAUUAGCUUGUUGGUGAGGUAAGAGCUCACCAAGGCGACGAUCCCUAGCUGGUCUGAGAGGAUGAUCAGCCACACUGGAACUGAGACACGGUCCAGACUCCUACGGAG
rnacentral:rRNA from 1 species